rnacentral:rRNA from 1 species
AACGCGAAGAACCUUACCUGGGUUUGACAUCCUCGGACCGCUGUAGAGAUACAGCUUUCGUAGCAAUACGACCGGGAGACAGGUGCUGCAUGGCUGUCGUCAGCUCGUGGGGUGACCUGUUGGGUUAAGUCCCGCAACGAGCGCAACCCCUGUCCUUAGUUGCCAGCAUUUAGUUGGGCUCUCUAGGGAGACUGCCGUGGUUAACACGGAGGAAGGUGGGGAUGACGUCAAGUCCUCAUGGCCUUUAUAUCCAGGGCGACACACGUGAUACAAUGGACGGUACAAAGGGAUGCCAAGGGGCAACCCGGAGCUAAUCUCAAAAAACCGUUCUCAGUUCGGAUUGGAGUCUGCAACUCGACUCCAUGAAGUUGGAAUCGCUAGUAAUCGCGGAUCAGCACGCCGCGGUGAAUACGUUCCCGGGCCUUGUACACACCGCUGUA